CCCUUAGAUGUUCUGGGCUGCACGCGUGCUACAAUGGCGCUUGCAACAAGUCUUGCCAACCCGAUAGGGUGAGCGGAUCUUUGAAGAGGCGUCGUGAUCGGGACAGUUGAUUGCAAUUAUUCGACUCGAACGAGGAAUUCCUUGUAAUCGCGAUUCAUCAUAUCGCGCUGAAUUCGUCCCUGCCCUUUGUACACACCGCCCGUCGCUCCUACCGAUUGAGCGAUCCGGUGAAUGUUUUGGACUGGCGUCAGAAGCGGUUCGCUCCUGACACUACGAAAUUUUGUAAACCUUAUCGCUUAGAGGAAGGAAAAGUCGUAACA
rnacentral:rRNA from 1 species